GACGAACCGUGCGAACGUUGUUCGGAAUCACUGGGCUUAAAGGGCGCGUAGGCGGGCUGCCAAGUUCGGGGUGAAAUCCUCCCGCUCAACGGGAGAACGGCCCCGAAUACUGGCGGUCUCGAGGGAGGUAGGGGCGUGCGGAACUAUGGGUGGAGCGGUGAAAUGCGUUGAUAUCCAUAGGAACUCCGGUGGCGAAGGCGGCACGCUGGACCUUUUCUGACGCUGAGGCGCGAAAGCCAGGGGAGCAAACGGG
rnacentral:rRNA from 1 species